GUGGAUUAGAUACCCUGGUAGUCCUGGCCGUAAACGAUGAACACUAGGUGUUGCGGGUAUCGACCCCUGCAGUGCCGUAGCUAACGCGAUAAGUGUUCCGCCUGGGGAGUACGCACGCAAGUGUGAAACUUAAAGGAAUUGACGGGGACCCGCACAAGCGGUGGAACAUGUGGUUUAAUUCGAAGCAACGCGAAAAACCUUACCAGGACUUGACAUUGAUAGAAUCCGGAUGAAAGUCUGGAGUGCCCUUCGGGGAGCUUGAAAACAGGUGGUGCACGGUUGUCGACAACU
rnacentral:rRNA from 1 species